rfam:Solanum tuberosum cultivar DM 1-3 516 R44 scf00081_10, whole genome shotgun sequence.
AGGUUUACAGUGGAUACCUAGGCACCGAGAGAUGAGGAAGGGCAUAGUAAUCGACGAAAUGCUUCGGGGAGUUGAAAAUAAUCAUAGAUUUGGAGAUUCCCAAAUAGGGCAACCUUUCGGACUGCUGAUGAAUCCAUGGGUAUGAAAGAGACAACUUGGCGAGCUAAAACAUCUUAGUAGCCAAAGGAAAGGAAAGCAAAAGUGAUUCCCGUAAUAGUGGUGAGAAAAAUAGGAGAAGCCUAAACCAUGAAAAUGGGGUUGUGGGAAAACAAUACAAGUGUCGUGCUUCUAGGCGAUGCAGCCUGAAUGUUUCACCCUAGAUAGCGAAAGUCUAGUAGCCGAAAGCAUCACUAGCUUACACUCUGACCCGAGUAGCAUGGGGCACGUAGAAUCCCAUGUGAAUAAGCAAGGACCAUCUUGCAAGGCUAAAUACUCAUGGGUGACCGAUAGCAAAGUAGUACCAUGAGGGAAGGGUGAAAAAAACCCCAUCGGAGAGUGAAAUAGAACAUGAAAUUGUAAGCUCACAAGCAGUGGGAGGAGCCAUGGCUCUAACCGCGUGCCUGUUGAAGAAUGAGCCACCGACUCAUAUGGAGUGGCUUGGUUAAGGGAACCCACCAGAGCCGUAGUGAAAGCGUCUUCAUAGGGCAAUUGUCACUGCUUAUGGACCUAAACCUGGGUAAUCUAUCUAUGACCAGGAUGAAGCUUGGGUGAAACUAAGUGGAGGUCUGAACCGACUGAUGUUAAAGAAUCAACAGAUGAGUUGUGGUUAGGGGUGACAUGUCACUCGAACACAGAUCUAGUUGGUUCUCCUCAAAAUGCAUUGAGGCGCAGCAGCUGACUGAACAUCUAAGAGUAACACUAUUUCAAUGCUAGCCGCGAGAGCGCUACCAAAUCAAGACAAACUCUGAAUACUAGAUAUGACCUCAAAAUAACAAGGGUCAAGUUUGGCUAGUGAGACGAUGGGGAUAAGCUUCAUCAUCGAGAGGAAAACAACCCAGAUCACUAGCUAAGUCCCCUAAAUAACCGCUUAGUGAUAAAGGAGGUAGGGGUGCAGAGGCAGCCAGGAGGUUUGCCUAGAAGCAGCCACCCUUGAAAGAGUGCGUAAUAGCUCACUGCUCGAGUGCUCUUGCGCCGAAGAUGAACGGGGCUAAGAGUUCUGCCAAAGCUGUGGGAUGCAAGAAUACAUCAAUAAGGGAGCGUUCCUCCUUAGAGAGAAGUCUUCGCGCUAACGGUGGUGGUUGAAGCGGAAGCUAGAAUGUCGGCUUGAGUAACGCAAACAUUGGUGAGAAUCCAAUGCCCCAAAAACCUAAGGGUUCCUCUGCAAGGUUCAUCCAUGAAGGGUGAGUCAGGGCCUAAGAUCAGGCCGGAAGGCAUAGUCGAUAGACAACAUGUGAAUAUUCCUAUACUACCCCUUGUUAGUCCCGAGGGACGAAGUAGGCUGGGUUAGUCAAAAGAUGGUUAUUGGUUCAGGAGCAUAAGGUGUCCCUGCUUUUUCAGGGUAAGAAGGGGUAGAUAAAAUGCCUCGAUCCAAUGUGCAAAUACCAGGCGCUACGGCGCUGAAGUAACCCAUGCCAUACUCCCAGGAAAAGCUCGAACCACGUUAAGCAAGAGGGUACCUAUACCCUAAACCAACACAUGUGGGUCAGUAUAAAUACCUAGGGGUGUGAGACAACUCUGUCUAAGGAACUCGGAAAAAUAGCCCCGUAACUUCGAGAGAAGGGGUGCCUCCUCACAAAGGGGAUUGCAGUGGUCAGGCUUGGGCUACUGUUUACCAACAACACAGGUCUCCAUAAAGUCGUAAAACUGUGUAUGGGGACUAACGCCUGCCCAGUGAUGGAAGGUCAAGGUAGUUAGUGACCUGAUGAAAAGGGAGUCGGCGAUCGAAGCCCCAUUGAAUGGAGACCCUAACUAUAAUGGUCCUAAGGUAGCGAAAUUCCUUAUCGGGUAACUUCCGACCCGCACGAAAGACGUAAUGAUCUAGGCACUCUCUUGGAGAGAAGCUUGGUGAAAUAG